AAACUAUAAUCACAUAUCAGAAUGACUAUAAUGGAGUAUCACCAUUUGUUCUGGACUGAGACUCAGCAGCAUCGACUGCUUUGGCUUGUUCUCUAAACUUCUUGUAGAUAUCCCCUUUGUAAAACUUGAAUGUUCUGAUUACUAAAACCAAUGAAACAAUGAACCCCACAAAAGUAGAUGCUGCAAUUAUCAAGAAAGCCAACUUAUAACACUCAACUCCAGUGCAAGUCAAGUCUUCACCGCGUUUCCUAAUGAUCCCAUGAGCUGCCAAU
rnacentral:misc_RNA from 1 species